CAAAAUCUGUCAAAAUGGUUUCCCCAGAUUUUGUCAUGUAUAGGUAAUUUAUCAACCUCAGAAUCUUCCAAAAAUGUAGACAAUUCUUAGCAUCUACGAGGAACAGUACUUAUUGUUAGAUCUCUAAGUAUGUACCAGCCAUAAUAAAACUUAAAGAAGAAUGAGAUCUUAAGAAGAAAAUCAAUAUUUAGAUUCUAACACUAGUCAAGGCCAAUUAAAUGACCCAGGCAAGUGCAAAACCCGCUAUGGGACAUUAAGGUACCAACACAUUAGCUUAGUCCAAAUUAUACUUAAAUUAUGAAUUUUCCUCUAAAUAAUUAAUGUUAUAAAUUAAAAAAUGUUACCUAUUAAUAUUUAUAUUGUAUACUUAUAUUGAUUUAAAUCUACAGUGGGAGACAAAAGUAUGAAUUUUUUUUUGUUUAUUAUUAAAGUACAAGCCAAUAAAAGUACAAAUUUUUAUGGAA